AUUGAACGCUGGCGGCAUGCCUUACACAUGCAAGUCGAACGGUAACGGGCCUUCGGGUGCCGACGAGUGGCGAACGGGUGAGUAAUACAUCGGAACGUGCCCGAUCGUGGGGGAUAACGAGGCGAAAGCUUUGCUAAUACCGCAUACGAUCUACGGAUGAAAGCAGGGGACCGCAAGGCCUUGCGCGGACGGAGCGGCCGAUGGCAGAUUAGGUAGUUGGUGGGAUAAAAGCUUACCAAGGCGACGAUCUGUGGCUGAUCUGAGAGGAUGAUCAGCCACACUGGGACUGCGACACGGCCCAGACUCCUACGGGGGGCAGCAGUGGGGAAUUUUGGACAAUGGGCGCAAGCCUGAUCCAGCCAUGCCGCGUGCAGGACGAAGGCCUUCGGGUUGUAAACUGCUUUUGUACGGAACGAAAAGCCUUCUUUUAAUACAGGAGGGUCAUGACGGUACCGUAAGAAUAAGCACCGGCUAACUACGUG
rnacentral:rRNA from 1 species